AAGUGUUGGGAUUGGUGGAUGUGGGGGGAUUGAUAUUGUGGUAGGUGUUAGGACUGUUGAUGGUGGUGGGAAUGUUGAGGUUGGUGUUGGUAAUCUUCAUGGUAUUGGGGUUGAGUUUGUGGUAUGUAGUGUUGAUUUGGUUGGGGGGUGGACAUGUGUUGGGGUGGUUGUUGUUGGUAAUACGGUGGUGGUGGCUGUUGUUGGUAAUAAGGUGGUGGUGGUUGUUGUUGGUAAUAUGGUGGUGGU
rnacentral:lncRNA from 1 species